UACAUAAGUAAUCUGGACUUGAACACGCCUGAUCUCGGAAGCUAAGCAGGGUCAGGCCAGAUUAGUACCUGGAUGGGAGACCUCCUGGGAAUACCGGGUGCUGUAG
rnacentral:rRNA from 1 species